rnacentral:rRNA from 1 species
CCUACGGGAGGCAGCAGCUAGGAAUAUUGGGAAUGGGCGAAAGCCUGACCCAGCAACGCCGCGUGGGCGAUGAAGGCUUUCGGGUCGUAAAGCCCUUUUGCAAGGGAAGAUGAUGACGGUACCUUGCGAAUAAGCCACGGCUAACUACGUGCCAGCAGCCGCGGUAAUACGUAGGUGGCGAGCGUUGUCCGGAUUUACUGGGCGUAAAGGGCGUGCAGGCGGUCUGCUAAGUCCAGGGUGAAAGCUCCCGGCUCAACUGGGAGAGGUCCUUGGAUACUGGCAGACUUGAGGGAGGUAGAGGAAAGUGGAAUUCCCGGUGUAGUGGUGAUAUGCGUAGAUAUCGGGAGGAACACCAGUGGCGAAGGCGGCUUUCUGGGCCUUUCCUGACGCUGAGACGCGAAAGCGUGGGGAGCGAACCGGAUUAGAUACCCGGGUAGUCCACGCUGUAAACGAUGGACACUAGGUGUGGGGGGUAUCGACCCCCUCCGUGCCACAGCUAACGCAAUAAGUGUCCCGCCUGGGGAGUACGGCCGCAAGGUUAAAACUCAAAGGAAUUGACGG